CGAGUAUCAUCCCAUGAGGCCCAAUUGAAUUGCCGCGGUUUUGAUGCAUCGAAUUUCCCACAACCAGCAACCGCCAACCAGAGAGGUGGCAGAGCAGAACUUCUUAGAGCGAGUUUUCGUAAGGUAUGAUUUUCUCACACACAUUAGAAUUUGAACAUCAUUGGGAUUUGUUAUUGCAACUGAUUGAUCGUGGUGAAAUUCUAAUGUAAAUUUGUUUAAGAAGGAAAGGGAAGGGAGGUCGAGCUUGUGUGGUUGUUCUUGGUGAUCUUGGUCGAAGUCCUCGUAUGCAGUAUCAAGCUCUUUCUCUCUCCCGCCAGAAUCCCCCUUCUGUUCCAACGUUAAUUGCUGUAAAAUGGGAUAGCGUACUAAAGCGAUCUGCAUAUAUCAUUGAUUGGCAUAAUUUGGGUCAUACUCUGCUUACCCUUUCCCUAGGAAGAAAUAGCAAUUUUGUUGCUGCAUACCGCUGGUACUGAAUAUGAUUUUCCCACUCUUUUUGUCCAUUCCGUAUGUGGUUGGCUGAUCUAUCGUUGGCUAAAGUACAAUGUGAUUUGAGUCUAGAAUUGAAAAGCAUUUUGGGAAGAUGGCAGAUGGCUCCUUUUGUGUCACGAAGGCAAUGCAACAUGAGUUGGCUGAAAACUGGGAUAUCAAGUAAGAGGAUGAGGCUGAUGGGUGGAUUUAUUUCCUUCUUUUUUAUGUUUUCCUUUUUUAUAUGCAGAGCCACAGUUUUUCCACAUUGCUUCACUCCAAGAAAAAUGAGAAAAAUGAGUUGUUUUAUAGGCUGCAUAAUGAUAUAAUUCCAAGUCUCAUGGUCUUCAAGGUUGUGUUAGCUAUGGUGCGGGAAUGGUAGGCCAUGAGCAGCAGUAGACGUUGUUAACAAGCCUGGUUGGCAAGGAUAUUUUGUUGAAGCAAAACAGAUAUGCAGUUGUUGUGAGCAGCACAAGCUGGGCUCCAGAUGAAGAUUUUAGUAUCCUUUAAGAAUCUCCAGUCUAAGUAUGACAGGCGUGUUGCUGCAAUGCUUAAUGAGGAUGAUUCAAUUUGUGAUAAAUUUAUCUGGAGUGAAAUCUAUGAUAGGAAAGAAAUAUUUAUAUCCUAGGUUACCGUUCAUAAUUACUUUUUGUUGAGAAUUAUUGGGACUAAUAAGAGAGAUGAUCAUGAAUUUAUAAGUAAGGAAUACAACUCUAUUGGCAUAGACAUUUUGGGAAACCAAAAACAAAACCAUGAGAGCUUAGCUCAAAGUGGACAAUAUCAUUGGUGGAGAUGGAGAUAUGUUACUAACACUUUUCCCUAACUCUCCUUCUGCUUGGACCUAUCUAAAUUAGAGACCUUCCUCUGUUUAUAAAAGGUAAAGGGCCCAACAAAAAAAAAAGUAUGAAGAUAAGAUCAGUACAUUACACCUUAAGCGUGUGGCAUUUCGUACAAUGCGACUGUCUGCAGAGGAUUACCCAUUACUUCUCGGAUCAGCAGAUCUAGGCGUUUGUUUGCAUAUUUCUUCAUCAGGCUUGGAUCUUCCAAUGAAGGUAUGCAAUAGUUCUUUAAGGGAUGCUAUUAAAUUGAGAAUCAAAGGACGCUAUUUAACCAUCAACAUUUGCUUCCAUGAAUUGCUAUAUUUCCAUCUUUGAAAUUUAUAAAAACUACGAUCACAUAUUGUAUUAUAUUUGAUGGAAUGAAAAAUUACAUAUCUGAUGAUGAAAACAGAUUUAUGAUAAUUCAGACAAUUCCGAUUAUAUGCGCAUCCACCAAAAAAAAAAAAAGAAAGAGAAACCAACAAAAAUGCUUCAUAUUCAGAACAUUGACCCACAAAACAUAUUUCAAUAACAAAAGUACCUGAGUAGUCCAUACAAACACGCAAAACGAAAAAUAAAAACAGUCGAAAAAGAAAA